rnacentral:rRNA from 1 species
UGUACGGGUCCAGCUUGCUAGAUGCGACGAGCCGCGGAUUGGGUGAGUAAUGCAUAGGAAUCUGCCCGAUAGUGGGGGAUAACCUGGGGAAACCCAGGCUAAUACCGCAUACGUCCUACGGGAGAAAGCGGGGGCUCUUCGGACCUCGCGCUAUCGGAUGAGCCUAUGUCGGAUUAGCUGGUUGGUGAGGUAACGGCUCACCAAGGCGACGAUCCGUAGCUGGUCUGAGAGGAUGAUCAGCCACACCGGGACUGAGACACGGCCCGGACUCCUACGGGAGGCAGCAGUGGGGAAUAUUGGACAAUGGGGGCAACCCUGAUCCAGCCAUGCCGCGUGUGUGAAGAAGGCUUUCGGGUUGUAAAGCACUUUCAGUGGGGAAGAAGGCCUGCCGGUCAAUACCCGGCAGGAACGACAUCACCCACAGAAGAAGCACCGGCUAACUCCGUGCCAGCAGCCGCGGUAAUACGGAGGGUGCGAGCGUUAAUCGGAAUUACUGGGCGUAAAGCGCGCGUAGGCGGCUAAGUAAGCCGGUUGUGAAAGCCCCGGGCUCAACCUGGGAAUGGCAUCCGGAACUGUUUGGCUAGAGUGCAGGAGAGGAAGGUAGAAUUCCCGGUGUAGCGGUGAAAUGCGUAGAGAUCGGGAGGAAUACCAGUGGCGAAGGCGGCCUUCUGGACUGACACUGACGCUGAGGUGCGAAAGCAUGGGUAGCAAACAGGAUUAGAUACCCUGGUAGUCCAUGCCGUAAACGAUGUCGACUAGCCGUUGGGUCCCUUGAGGACUUAGUGGCGCAGUUAACGCGAUAAGUCGACCGCCUGGGGAGUACGGCCGCAAGGUUAAAACUCAAAUGAAUUGACGGGGGCCCGCACAAGCGGUGGAGCAUGUGGUUUAAUUCGAUGCAACGCGAAGAACCUUACCUACCCUUGACAUCCUGCGAACCCUCCGGAGACGGAGGGGUGCCUUCCGGGAGCGCAGAGACAGGUGCUGCAUGGCUGUCGUCAGCUCGGAGUUGUGAAAUGUUGGGU